rnacentral:rRNA from 1 species
AAUCACUUGUCUUUUAAAUGAAGACCUGUAUGAAUGGCAUCACGAGGGCUUAACUGUCUCCCCUCUCCAGUCAAUGAAAUUGACCUCCCCGUGCAGAGGCGGGGAUAUUUAUAUAAGACGAGAAGACCCUGUGGAGCUUUAGACCUAAAGUAAACCACGUUUAAUGUACUAGAAUUAAUAGCAAAAACUUAGUGGACAUUUAUUUAAGUGUCUUUGGUUGGGGCGACCGCGGAGUAAAAUAUAACCUCCAUGUGGACGGGGAUACUUUCCCUAAAACUCAGAGCCUCCACUCCAAGCAACAGAAAUUCUGACCUUACUGAUCCGGUACAACCGAUUAACGAACCCAGUUACCCCAGGGAUAACAGCGCAAUCCCCUCUCAGAGCUCAUAUCGACGAGGGGGUUUACGACCUCGAUGUUGGAUCAGGACAUCCUAAUGGUGCAGCCGCUA